rnacentral:rRNA from 1 species
AAUAGAUACCCUGGUAGUCCACGCCCUAAACGAUGCGAACUGGAUGUUGGGUUCAACUUGGAACUCAGUAUCGAAGCUAACGCGUUAAGUUCGCCGCCUGGGGAGUACGGCCGCAAGGCUGAAACUCAAAGGAAUUGACGGGGGCCCGCACAAGCGGUGGAGUAUGUGGUUUAAUUCGAUGCAACGCGAAGAACCUUACCUGGCCUUGACAUGCACGAAACUUGGCAGAGAUGCCUUGGUGCCUUCGGGAACCGUGACACAGGUGCUGCAUGGCUGUCGUCAGCUCGCGUCGUGAGAUGUUGGGUUAAGUCCCGCAACGAGCGCAACCCUUGCCCUUAGUUGCCAGCACGUAAUGGUGGGAACUCUAGGGAGACCGCCGGUGACAAACCGGAGGAAGUGGGGAUGACGUCAAGUCAUCAUGGCCCUUAGGCCAGGGCUACACACGUACUACAAUGGUGGGGACAGAGGGCUGCGAUGCCGCGAGGCGGAGCCAAUCCCAGAAAACCCCAUCCCAGUCCGGAUUGGAGUCUGCUAACCG